rnacentral:rRNA from 1 species
AUGGGCGAGUUCGACGAUUACUGGGCGCGGGCGUACAGGGGCGACCCCGCGGUGCCGCACUCCGACCCGCAGCGGCUCAUCUCCACCUGGACCGGCGCCUUCGCCCUCGGCGCCGCCGCCUGCGUCCACCACCACGUCACCGGCCUCGCCUCCAACCUCAAGUCCCUUCCCCACAGGCAUGCCGUUCUACCUAGCACCUAUCACCAACCGCCCUUCACGCUUAGCUGGCAAGACAUGACAAUGAUGCUCGAUCAGAAGCGCUGGAAGAAAAUUCUUGACAAGAAGCAGCAACAAGCUUAA